rnacentral:rRNA from 1 species
UACGUAGGUGGCAAGCGUUGUCCGGAAUUAUUGGGCGUAAAGCGCGCGCAGGCGGUCCUUUAAGUCUGAUGUGAAAGCCCACGGCUCGACCGUGGAGGGUCAUUGGAAACUGGAGGACUUGAGUACAGAAGAGGAAAGCGGAAUUCCACGUGUAGCGGUGAAAUGCGUAGAGAUGUGGAGGAACACCAGUGGCGAAGGCGGCUUUCUGGUCUGUAACUGACGCUGAGGCGCGAAAGCGUGGGGAGCAAACAGG